rnacentral:piRNA from 1 species
UAUCAGCCUAAUAGCUAAUGUCAGCAUAA